UUAUAAGAAGAAUAACAUUUAUCUGUUUUGUUAUUUUCCACCCAUCUACACUUCAGGAAGGAGAGCAGUUCUGUGUCCCAGAAAUGAAUCAACGCCAGAACAAAUGCUUCCUUGUGAUUAUCCUGGAAGCUGAGGGUCUGGGCCCUUGGCUACUGAGAAACUAUUUCUUGCUGGAGGUUUGAUCUCCAGCUGUUCCUCAUCAGAAGCAAUCAGGAGGAAUUUAAAGGAGAUGCGGGUUUCUGAGGCAGCAGCCUCACCCUGGCUGCACCGCCCAUCCUCUCCCUAUCAACCACUUCCUCCGAGGCCAAACUCCCCAUUCUCUGGAUCGUUAUCUUUGUCAGCAACAGUAAGUCAUCCUCGCCACCUAAACAACUUACUGUUAACCAACAUCAACCCCCUA